CAGCCGCCGCGGUAAUACCGGCGGCCCGAGUGGCGGUCACUAUUAUUGGGCUUAAAGCGUCCGUAGCCGGGUUGGGAAGUCCUCCGGGAAAUCUGGCCGCUUAACGGUCAGAAUGCCGGAGGAUACUCCCAGCCUAGGGAGCGGGAGAGGCCGAGGGGAUUCCCGGAGUAGGGGGGAAAUCCUAUAAUCCCGGGAGGACCACCGGUGGCGAAGGCGCUCGGCUGGAACGCGUCCGACGGUGAGGGACGAAGGCCAGGGGAGCAAACCGGAUUAGAUACCCGGGUAGUCCUGGCGGUAAACGAUGCGGACUUUGUGUCGGACAAGCUAUGAGCUUGUCCGGUGCCGGAGGGAAACCGUUAAGUCCGCCGCCUGGGGAGUACGGCCGCAAGGCUGAAACUUAAAGGAAUUGGCGGG
rnacentral:rRNA from 1 species